rnacentral:rRNA from 1 species
UGGGGAAUUUUCCGCAGUGGGCGAAAGCCUGACGGAGCAAUACCGCGUGAGGGAGGAAGGCUUUUGGGUUGUAAACCUCUUUUCUUAGGGAAGAAGUUCUGACGGUACCUAAGGAAUCAGCAUCGGCUAACUCCGUGCCAGCAGCCGCGGUAAUACGGAGGAUGCAAGCGUUAUCCGGAAUUAUUGGGCGUAAAGCGUCCGCAGGUGGCUCUUCAAGUCUGCUGUCAAAGACCAGAGCUCAACUCUGGGCAGGCGGUGGAAACUGGGGAGCUAGAGUACGGUAGGGGUAGAGGGAAUUCCCAGUGUAGCGGUGAAAUGCGUAGAGAUUGGGAAGAACACCAGUGGCGAAGGCGCUCUACUGGACCGGGAUUGACGCUGAGGCGCGAAAGCGUGGGGAGCAAACAGGAUUAGAUACCCCGGUAGUCC